CCCACCUUCUUCCUCCUGCCUAGCCUCCUCCCACCUCCCCUCCUCCCCCGAUCCACUUCCUUUCCCCGCCGGCGCCGUCCUUCUUCCCUCGCCGGUGCUUUCCUCCCCCAAUCCAUCUUGUUCGCCUUCCCCAGGCAUCGCCGAACUUCCCUUUCGGCUCGAUCUGCAGCGACGCGGACAGCCAGCAGUAGGGCGCGCCGCCCUUACCCUCCCCUCGAAUUUUUGGGGCACCAACGACCCAGCGCGAUAUCUGGCGGUCGGGCUUGGGGUGGAGGCCACCGCCGAUCCCCUGCUGGAUCUCUUUCCACCAAUAUACGGCGACCUCCCCCUCGAUCUGGUCUCCCGUCCACAACGCCUUUGUUGUCCACCUCGACUGAGCCGCCGUCGACGUCGUCUGAUUGGUCCUAGUGGACGCCAGCCACCACGGCAUCGGGACGGAACCCCCUCCUCUUCACACUCUUCUCCAUGGACGGCUGCGCAGUCACCAUCUCCAGCGUGCGGUUUCAGCAGAAGGAUCCCGGGGAGCGCCUCUCUCUCUUACCAUUGUGGCAUUUCCGACACAGGGGCUUGCGGAAAUUUUUGUGUAAUUUUUUUCAGAUUAUUGUUGUUGAUUUGAGUGAAUUCAGUUUCUAACGAAGUUUGUUAAUUCUCUCAGUGUAGCUUGGCUGGCACCGGCAUGAGGUUCACUAGCUCCUGCUUGCAGCUCGCCAUGGUAGAUGGGUUGAUGCCCCCAUCCCGCACCACCCCUCGCCAAAUCUGGCGGCUACCGCAAUGCGCCCCCUUCUCCAGCUGAGCCUCGGAACGUCACCACCACUUGCCGGGACGGCUAUGCGGUUCGGCGGGUCAUGCCGUGCAGUGCGUCAUGGGCUACAGCUCCCGCGUGCGGUUCAUUCGUGCGUGUUAAUGCAGUGUGCCGCACGGGUGGGAGGAGGGAGUGUACUCCACGCGCGUCCUGCCCUCUGUUCCACCUCCCCUCCUCUGCGAUGGAGCAGCAUGGUCGUGCACGACGCAGUGCAGUUCAGUGCAAAACAAGUGUCUACAUCAAGUUGGAGAUGAGGUUCAGCGUGCUUUGUUGUGAAGAUAACUCACUUCGUCCCCAUCGUUGGUGAAACCAUGCACUCCCCCAUUUCCGCCCCGGGAUGAGCAGCGCAAGGGCAUCGCUGGAGCAGUCCACACAGCAGCCGCGUGCGGCCAUCAUUGCAUGGCCAUGCAGUGGACUUCUGCAAUGUGAGGCGAGCAUAGUAGGGAUUAGUCACUAACACCGACUCCACCGCUGGCGAUUUUUGCAGUGCACGUUUUUCUUUUUUCAGUUCGUUCCAUGAGAAAAUGAUGUAUGUUUAGUUUAUAUAUUGAGGGACAUUUGUGCUGAUUGCAAAUGUAGUACACUUCGGCAAGACAGCUAUAGUCUGCAGAGGAGGGCCUCCACCCCGAGACGCCCGUGCAAAAUCUGUGAUAAAAACAUGGUAUUUCUGACUAUGUUCGCGCGGUGCUCAGCGUGUGUGCAUGCAAUUUAGUUGUUUCGAUUUUUGUUUUGUUUGUUUUGCGAUGGGAAAAUAGCCUGAAGUUGUAUUUUUUGGAGAAUUGUUUUUAAAGUGCACUUAGUUUGUAUAAAGAGAAUAUAUUUUAUUAUCCCUAUUUAUGAAGGCAAUUUGUUC